rnacentral:lncRNA from 1 species
UUAGCGACAUGUUUGCUUUUACGUUUCAUUUCUUCAGUCCCAAGAGCAUAUAGAGUAACACACACGUAUUACAAUGUUUGUGUUUUUAUGGUCCGAUCACUUUUGGAUGGUUAUGGUAUUUGGAUGAUGUUGCAGUAAGCGUGUCAUUUUUUAGUCCUACAUUCAUCCCAUGGCCUUGUUUUAUUUUUGUCUGAUAUUUUCAAAUUCAAUAAGUAGCAUAAAUACCCUCUUCGUCUAUUUGGUGAAUAAUGUAGGCGUGUAAUUUAUUGUUUUGUAAGCGUUUUCUUUUCUUUGUGUGUCAUCCCAAAUAUCACCCGUUUUAUAUGUUCUCCAUAAAGUGGUGCUUGCGCGUGGGGUGCAGAAGCACAGAGGUCGUUACCCAUUCAGGUGCAAAGGUGCGCUGUUCCCGGAUUAGCUCGCCCACGGUGGCAAGAGGUGAACCUUUGACGCGGGACCUGAGGGCAUAUUGUACAUUUACAGGCUAAAUGGACAUUUAAAUAUUGACAUUGUUAUUAGGGCCUCCGUGAUAUUUAUAAUAUGCAUAAUGUAGCCUAGAUAAUACCAAUAACAAACAGGUCUAUGCUUGCUGCUACUACCAGUAUCCUUGCUAAUUACAGCUACAGAAGAGGUUUGACCAAAUUGAUGUUAAAGACGUGCUACUCCCUCUCCGGAUUUUGGAAAUGUGCAUUUAGACUACUGUUUUGAGGAUUGUUUUGUUUUUUCUAAUGACGAAAAGGUUAUUCUGAAACGUGUGCCCUUGUAAAGGUAUUUGAAGGAAUUCACGCUCCACGUGACGUAUACCUGAAGACAACAGCCACUGGUUGGAAGGCACCUGAUGGUCCAAGUCGUUAUGUCUUUACCUCCACCUCUCCAACCCGGAAGGUCACCUGGGAGAAAAGAGGGCACAGCGGGGAGAUCGAAUGAGGUGGCGGUAGAGGUGCCCUGCAGGUGUACCUAUCCUUUCCUCCCCUCCUCCUCCCACAGCCAGAGCUCACCAUGACGCCCCAGCCAAAGAGGCCUGCCCUCAGGUGAGUCUCCCAGCAGUGCACCAAAACCCACCCUCU